CUCUGAGAUCCAUGUUGAUUGUGAGCCUCACAGUAGAAGCGUCCACUCUGUAGUGCACUGAAACUCUGUCCAGAUCCAACAGAUGAGGAUUCAUCCUCCUUAAACCAGCUGAAGUUCAGAGCAGGAGACUCCACCUGAAGAUCUGAACACAACACACACAUUAUAUCUAGUGCUGCUGUCACACACUCAUUAUUAUUCAACAUAAUGCACAGAAGAAAAGUGAAACCUCAUAAAAAUCACCUGUGACAAUACUGAAGUCUCUGACUGUAUUCAGGAUCCUCAGACACAUCUGGAG